AUUAGGAUAAGUUUAAAAAAUGUCAUCAAAGAACCUGAGUUAGAUCAAUGGAAUCUGUAUUUAGGGAACUGGGGUUACAACACUCAGAAAGAGAGAGAAGAAGCUGCGGCUAUCCCCAGAAUUCAAGUUCUUGAGCUGUCGGACUUCAGUAAGAAGUUGAAAUGAUUGUUUGUUGCCUUCAUUGAAUUUUCACUUUUUCAGGCGUCAGCAUUGAACUGAACAUUUUGUUACCAUCUCAUUUAUAAAGAAAGUCAGUUUGUUGUGACCACAAUCUUUUUAUUUAAAAUGGCUGCUGUAACUGUAUCCUCUAAUGUUAUAUAGAGAAAUGUUUUUUCAGUACA